GUCCAGACGAGGCGGGCAGGGCCUGAGGUGGGAUUCUGGGAGCAACCUAAAGAAAUCCGAGCAACUCCAUGUUUCCCACUCGCUGUGUGACUGGGGUGACCCACUCUCUAGCUCCGGAGACCUCUCUGUAGGAGUACGGAACCUGUCCUUGUCCCAUCCCGGGAGCUCACCCAGGGGGAUUCGCAGGGCUCCCAGGGCUCCUGGCUCUGGGCUUCCGGGGUCACCUCACCGUGUGCUUCCUCCCACGCCUGUCCACUGCCUCUGCCAGGUGACUCUCCCCACCACCUUCCCUGACGGGCCAAACCUGCUUCCCCUGAGGCCAAGUGUCGCACAGCCCUUGACCUUGGAUCCUCCCCUCCCUGGGCAGCCUGGCUGUCCCUCUGCCCCCUUUGUUGACCACACCACGUCUUACUGUCCGUCUCUCAGGACAGAAGUGGCUCCCAACCCGAGGGGCUGGAUCCCGACUUCCCUUCUCCAGGUGAACCCAGGUCAGCGCCUCGAGCGCCUGUUGUGGUGCCAGGAGGAGGGCACGGGGCGUGACUCCGGGAAAGCAGGGAAGGGAAGCCGGUGGCCAUGCUUCCUCCUUCUUCAGAGCGACCUGGGGUAUGCAGGAACACCUGGCGCUCCACCUGCACGGGCACCAGCCCCCUGUCCUCCAUGCUGCCCGGCUCACAGGCCUGGGUGGCUGCGUUGCAUCCUGGCCGGUGCCACAGAGGAGCCCGUGAGGAAUUUAACGUCCAGAACUGGGCCGUGGGUCCCCAAGGUCUUUCUUUGGGGUUGGUGAGCAGUACGCUGGGGCGUUUGUGGCCCUGGGGUUGAACGGCCACUGCUCACAAGGCAGGUAGAUGUGAUGGCUACUGACGGGGGCCGUGCUCAGCCUGACCGCAUGGGGUCAGCCCCCAAGGCUGCUGCCUCCUGUGAGUAUGUGGAGGUCACUGGCUGGAGGCUCCGGGCACCGGUCAGAGCGGCCGCUCUGUGGACUUGGCCAGGGCUGUCCGCAGCUCAGCUGCCCUGAAGGAUUGGCUCGCUGUAGACAAAGCUGUUUCUGCCCCCAGCGGGAAACGUCACCCUGCGUUAUGUCAAAGCACGCACCAGCCACUGCUAGGGAGACACGGUGCCUCGCAGGCACGGAGAGGGGUCCAGUCUUCAGGGUUGAUGCGUCCUGGGCCCAGGGAAGGGCUGACCUGUCACCUUCAGAUGACACUGUGGCCUGCAGGAGGCUGGGGAGUGGGGGAGGGUGGCCCACAGGAUGAGGACGGGGGUGGAAAUUCACUUUGGGGGAUUUAAAGACACGUUUGGGCAUUUUCUGGGCGCUGCUGAGAUGCCCCAGGGUUCUGCUGGUGGGACUGCAGAUGGCCUUCUCUAUGGGCUCCCGUCCCUGUCCAUUCUUGGCCUCCUCAUCCAUGAGGUGGGGGCCGUGGAGGCCCACCUCAGAGAGUGCUUGGAGGAGCAGAGCGGUGCCGCAUCUCCCUAGCUGAGGGAGGCUGGGCGUCCUGCUCUCUCCUGCUGCCAGCAGACCAGGGAUGCUUGUGCCCCACUGUCCACUCUGCUCCUGUGGGAGCCCACGUGGCCCCAGAGGGAAGUGCCCGCCUUGCACCUCUUCCAUGAGGAGGGCAUCUCUGCUUGGGGUUUGGGCUGCAGAGGAGGAUGGCAUGUGUUGAAGACCCACUUGUCCAGGCUCUGAGUUAAUUAGGGAAAGCAGGUGAACUGCCCCACUCAGGAGGCAGUGGACGGCCAGCUGUGGCUGAGCGCCAGGGCCCCAGGCCAGCCCCCACCUCCUGCUUUGCUCCUUCUCCCAGUUUCUGUGCAGGCUGCUGGUCUGACCAUGGGGAAGGCCAUCAUUUCGACUCUUGGCUGGCUCUAAAUGGACAUGGCCGUGCUGGCUGCCAUCGUGGUCAUUGCUGUCGGUGGAAGCUGGGAGACUCCUGAUUGGUUUGUGGCUGGUUUCCUUGCUGUUUGCUGCCGCACGGCCUGGACAGUUCUGACGCAGAAGCCGUGAGCGAGCAGACCCACAGCACUGAGACCUGCAGGAAGGGGAGACCCCUGCACAGCCACGGAGCCCGGGAGUCAGGACUGGGCUCUGGACGCAGCAGCGCCUCUGAGUGCUGGGCUUCUGCCGCGUUGCAAGAGCAGGCUGUGCCUGGGGGGCGGCCGAGGCGCUGGUGCAGGGUCUGCUUCCUAAGUGUGGGAUCAGGCCCCUUCUGUUUACUUCAGUCGCCCCGGAGGUGGGUGUCCCAGGUACCCUGCUGAAGAUGAGCACAUCUUACACCGACAGGAAGGCAGUGGUCUCCUCGUUACCGCUGUUGAAGACGGUGCUGCGGAGCCCUCUGUGUCCCCUGGGCUCACCUGUGUGGCUCCUUCUAGGAUAAGAAGGACACUGCUCUGGAGAGUGUGCGGUCAGCGCUGUGGACGGAGACACACGCCCGCUUCCCUCCCACCAAGACCGUGGGAAACCACAGGCACCGCCCACACAAGUGUCUCCAGUCGUACUUUUGGUGUCAAUCUCACGGGCAGAACAUGACCUUUUUAUUACUGUUUUAA